CAUUAAAACUUCUAAAACUCCUUUCGGGGUGGAGAGGGACGAGUUUCAGACUAAGGCGACUUUGCCUAUCUCUGCUUUCCCAAACAGCCUGGUCCGCGCCGCACCUUUUCUCACAAAGCCCAACAGCCCAAAGCGCCGCCGAACCCUACAGGGAAAGGUGCCGCCCCGUACCCUACCGCAAGGCGCGGACAGGCCGCCCCAGUCGCAGCCCGGCCCCGGUUCUCAGCCCGCCCACUCCCCGAGGCCCGCAGCUCCUCCCCGCGCGGGCUUCCCCGGUCCGGCGGCGGCGGCUGCCUGCCUCUGCCCGCGCCGAGCUCCGCGUCCCGGUUGCCGCAGCCCCUCCGCUCCGCCUGACAGCGGCCAACAAAAGGGACCGCAACCGCCUUCACCCCCGCUUUUUCCCCUCCUCGCGGCGGGCCCAGGCGGUUCCGCGUAGGCAGCACCGGUAGAAACAGCCGCCGCCCCGCUGCAGCAGCCUGCGGCCCGCAGAGCGGCGACAGGUGUCAGGCUGAAAAAUAAUGCAUUAAAGUGACUGACGUCAUGACAACCAUAAGGCAGAGAAGGAUUGGGAAAGGCACAGAAGCAGCUGAAGAUCAGCCUUCAGAAGAGAAGAAUGUGAAGCCUGAGGGGAAAAUUCUGUCUGAUCAUCUAGGUGGAAAGCUGUGGAACAUACUAUCAAUAACCGUUGGUGGAAUUGCUGCCAUCUCUCUUGGACUUCUCACAUCUGUUUAUGUUGCUACACUGCAUGAGAAUGAUCUGUGGUUUUCCAAUAUUAAGGAAGUUGAGAGAGAAAUUUCAUUCAGAACAGAAUGUGGACUUUAUUAUUCCUACUACAAACAGAUGAUUCAGGCUGCAUCCAUCCAGCAAGGUUUACAUGGUUUAGUAUAUGACAAUAAAACUGAAUCUGUGAGGACAAUUAACAUACUUGAAAGAAUGAAUGUUUACCAGGAGGUGUUUCUCAGCAUUCUGUAUAGGAUUCUUCCAAUUCAGCAAUACCUAGAGCCUGUUUAUUUUUAUAUCUACACUUUGUUUGGACUUCAGGCAGUUUAUGUCAUUGCUCUGUAUGUAACAAGCUGGCUUCUUAGUGGAACAUGGCUUUCAGGGUUGUUGGCAGCUUGCUGGUAUAUUACAAACAGAAUAGAUACUACAAGAGUAGAAUUCACCAUUCCUUUGAGAGAGAACUGGGCACUACCGUUCUUUGCUGUUCAGAUAGCAGCCAUCACAUACCUACUCAGAGCUCAUUUGCAGCCUGUUCAAGAAAAAUUGACACUUGUGGCUGUGUUCAUGGCAACGUUUCUCUUUAGCCUGACUUGGCAAUUUAAUCAGUUCAUGAUGCUGAUACAAGCAUUGGCAUUAUUCAUACUGGACUGUUUUGAUAUGCUUCCCACAGCAAAGGUUACAUGGCUCUAUAUCAUCCAGAUUUCUGGAUUACUGCUAGUCUGUGUCCUACAGUUCUUUAAUUCUAUGAUUCUUGGAUCAUUACUUAUAAGUUUUAAUACUUCUGUCUUGAUAGCAAGAACAAUCCAGAAAAAUCUAAAAAGGGGCAGCUUGUUCAGUAGGCUUGGGAAGCUUAUCCUCCAUGUACUAUUAGUCUUGUGCUUGACUCUUACAAUAAAUAAAUUCAUCAAGAAAAUUCUUAAUCUUGAGUCAGAUGAACAUAUAUUCAAAUUCCUGAAAGCAAAAUUUGGAUUUGGGGCAACAAGAGAUUUUGAUGCCAACCUGUAUCUUUGUGAAGAAGCUUUUGGUUUACUACCAUUAAAUACUUUUUCAAGACUUUCAGAUACAUUACUUUUUUACAUCUACAUAUUUGUUCUCUUCCUUAUGACAGUAGCAGCUGUAAUUGUUGCCUUUCAGAAUCUCAGUGGUUCAAAUGGAGUCAAUUGCUUGGAAAAAAUGGAAGAAUGCACAAUAACACUGAAGCCUGAUGCUGCUUAUAACUUAAUUCACACAGUUCUUUUUGGGUGCCUGGCAUUAAGCACAAUGAGAAUGAAGUACCUCUGGACAUCCCACAUGUGUGUAUUUGCAUCUUUUGGCCUGUGCAGUGCAGAAGUAUGGAGACCUAUCCUGAGGUGUAUUCAUCUCUACACAUCACAAAGGAUGCGUGUCAUUAAAUAUUCUGUACCAAUAAUUACAUUACUGUACAUUUUGUAUAAGUUCUGGCCAGGAAUAAUGGAUGAACUGUCAGAGCUGAGAGAAUUCUAUGACCCAGACACUGUGGAGCUGAUGAACUGGAUUAAGUCAAACACUCCAAACACAGCAGUGUUUGCUGGGAGCAUGCAGCUAUUAGCAGGAGUCAAACUGUGCACUGGACGGACCUUAACUAAUCAUCCCCAUUAUGAGGAUAAGAAUUUGAGAGAGAGAACAAAACAGAUUUAUCAGAUAUAUGCCAAGAGAUCUCCUGAUGAUGUUUACAGGAUACUGCGAUCCUUUGGCACAGACUAUGUGAUCCUAGAAGACAGCAUUUGUUAUGAAAGAAGGCACAGUAGAGGCUGUCGGCUACGUGACUUGCUGGAUAUAGCUAAUGGCCAUAUCAUGGAUGGUUUGGGAGACAAUGAACCUGAUCUGAAACCUUCAUUGUAUCCUCGCUUCUGUGAGGAAAUUAAGAAAAGUCUGCCUUCUUACACCACACACUUCACUAGAGUGUUUCAAAACAAAACAUUCCAUGUUUACAAACUUGCUAAGCAUAAAUAACAUUUUCAGCCAUGGCUUCAAGUUCAGUAUUUCAGUGCUAGGAUUCACAGUAGACAAUGCAGAAGUUUACAAACAUAAGGCAUUUGUAAAAUAUUUAACAUUGACAGUCUCUUGUUUAAUUAUUGUGACUUUUUUUUUUUUUUUGUUUGAUAACAUUCUUGAUGAUGCCAGCAUUUUCAUAGAUUCAUAACCAAAUGCUAGCAGGGACCAUUUCAGUUAGAAAAGCUGACCUUCUGUAUACCUAGGGUAUAAUAAUUUUCCAGUUUAACUGACUGGAAGACAUGCAAAAUGAGCAGCUUGUAUGACCACUGCAGGCCUCUGAAGUUCUGCUCAGCAGUUUGGAUUUUUAGCAUCAAAUGAUAGAAAUUCAAUGAAGGCAGGCCAUGCUGCUCCUGUAGGAGUACUGAUGACCUUUGUGAAUCAUGAAAAUAGUCACAAAAUUUAACUUUUGUCUUACAGUCUGAUCCUCUUUGACUGCUCUUUCAGUGCCUCUUUUUUUAAUUCUUCAGGAGUGUAUGCGGAUGUGAGUUUCCAAGUUUGUGAGUGUGACUGCAGAAUCAGUGAGUGCAGAAUCAGUACACAUUUGAAGAGUAAAACAAUCAUUGUCCAGCAUUUUUAGUGAUACAGAAACAUACUGCUUUGUAACAUUAAGCAUUCAAUGACGGAGUGUAAUGUAUUUCUAACGAGAGUAAGGGUUGGAGCAUGCUUGAUACAUGUUGCAUGUUUGUGUCCUCGUAAAAUUCCCAGAACAAACCAAAUUUCUCACCUUGAAUUCUCAGAAAACUAAUUUCUGUAUUUGCUUUCUGAACUACAGGGGAUGCUUUUCUCCCCAUGUGAAUUCCAGUAGGCUACCAAAAUUGAGCACUGCCAAGCUUACGAAAGAAAAAUUCAUCUCUAAAAUCAGCAAGCAAUCUUGCUGGACCUCUCUGUUACAAAUUAAAGGUGUGUUGGUCAUGAUUUUCCCCAUCACUAGACUGAGGCAUUUUUCCCAUUUAAGUAAGUACCAUUUGCUUUGACCAUUAGGGUUCUGCUCGUUUUUGCAUUGUAGCUCAAGCUUUAGCAUUCUUAAUCAAUGAAGCAAAGCACAUAUUACCAAGUCUUGUAUUUGAACCAGGAUGUCCUGACAUAAGUAAGCUUUUAGAAGUCUUGGUGUUAGUGUGGCAGGGACAAGCAGGAUGUGCACAGCUGUACCUACAACUGCCUGGCAUGUCUUUUUCUCAGUUGUGAUGCCAGAGUGCAGUCACUUUAUGUGUGGUACUGCUCUCAAAGGGAGGUUGGAGGAAGUUUUGUCAAGUGAUGUAAGCUGGUUAAUUAAAUCCCCAGGAACUGGCCAUGGUUUUUAGCAUUUCUUUUACAUAAGAAAAUGCUCGAGUUUCUUCUGUUCACCUAAUCCUGCUCCUUUUGCAGCCAAUGUCUCCCUUCUGAACGUGCUAGUACAAGCCACUAGGUCAAACCUAAGGACAAUCAGCUUUCACAUGGCUUGGCUACAUGUUAUGUGCUUGGAAUGUUGUUUAAAAUAGGGAAAACCACCAAGAUUAAUGUACUUGACAGGCAGACGGAUUAAAUACUAAUAUCCAUAUGAUUACUUAAAUUUCAGACCUUUACAAAUAUUUUAUACUAAAUAAAAUGUUCUUGCUACAUGUUUAAAGAACGUGGAAGAAGAUUACUGAAAGAACCAGAUUACUGAAAAUCCUACUACCUAGGGACCCAGUGAUUUUUCUUAUUAUUACUGUUAUUCCCUCUUUUUUUUUUCCCACCCUCCUCACCCCUUGCAGAACUGUCUGUUGUCAAGCCAGCUGUUCUAGUCUGGAAUGGUGGUACUGCUAUGCUGCAAUAAGCUUUUUUGUAGAGGUACUGAAGUGUUUGUGUGUAGAAGUGCAGAACAAGUGAAGAUAGAAGGUGAGCAAUUGCACAGUAAUUAGAAGAGCAGCAUGUAAAUUAAGUGGAUUAAUUAGUAAUCCUUAGAAGGAUGAAAAGUAGUUUUUAAUAGAGCAUGACAGCUGCAGGUAUGUCCUAUUACUGAGACUGUAUCUACAUGAGGUCCUUUAGCAGUUUUGAAAAUGUUGUCUAAGCUUUUAUGCUGGACAUGCUGUAAGAUGUAUGGCUAACUGCAGUUGCAGGAGCAGCAUCAAGUUGUGGUUGUUACUCUAUGUUUCCUUAAACAUCAGUGCCAUAGCUGUAAUAGGGGAAAAAGCAGUGGUAGAGCAGCAGCUUCAGGAUGGCUUCCAAGUUUCCUAUUUGGGAUUGGUCAUAGGAGACAUCUCAACCUCAGCAACUCUGCAGCUGUGACUGCACAACCCAUCUGCCUCUGUGCUCUCAGUUACCAGGCUACAGAACAAUAGUGAAUUGUCACAAUUUUUUUCCCAGAUGUAAUGUGUUUUAACUGACACAUUUAAAGCAAAGCCCCACAAACACCCCUGCCAACAGCAUUCCGUUGUAAACCUCAAUUUGAUAUACAUGUGGGAAUUGUUAUACUAUGGGUAACACAACUUGGGUGAUUCUAAUGAAUAUAAAACUAAGAAGUUCUUCCUUCUUAGAUUAAUUGUCUGCCUGUUGCAAAAACCACAACCAUGCAAUAGGCAAAAAGCCUGUGGGUGUCUGAAAAACAACCUGGUCUGUGGCCCCAGCCAGCUGCAGCCGUCUGAACCCCAAAAUGGUAACGUCUUGUGAGUGUGUAGAGCUUGAGUCGACACCUUGGUGAGAACCAACUGCUGCUUCUUUUGGCUUUUCAGGCAGAACAGCUUGCAUGACUUGUGGCUGUGGAUGUAGCUGAUCAAAGCUGAGAAAUAAUUCUGCAGGGUCCAACCUUAAGUAUAUGGAAGGAAGAGACCUUAAAUAUGUGUAAGAAAGUUUAUUAUCCGAGUAUGGUGCCUUAGAUACACAUGACACUGUACAAGCAAAUAAAAGUAGUCCUUACCCCAAGGAACUUAACAUACAAGCAAAUUAAAAUAAAACCAGACAAAAUGGGAGCAUAUCCAUAGCUAUGGAAAGAACACAAAUUAUGCAGACAAAAUUACUGCUAUUUGGUCUUUGUAUAAUACAUUUACUUCAUUUUCAAUGUCCUGUUCAUUUCUGCUACGAUCAUGAAGCACAGAAGCUAACAUACCUGACUUGUAAACACUGCAAGGCAGUGUAGUCUGAGUUUCCUCACAGCUAAUCAAAUUACAAAAUCAAAGACUUUAUAUGACCUGUGACUCAAAACCAAGGCAUGGGGGAAAACAGCAUUUAGCUCUUCCAGAUGAAAAUGCUACAUCUGCAGCAUGUAGCCACUGGCUGUUGGCAUGCUUCCAGUUUUCCCAAGUGUGUCCCAAAAGCACAGAAGAACAAGAUACUGCAAGGAUGUUUCAUUUGGAAAAGGUACAAAUUCAUCUUGCCAGCAGACUACAUUGACCUAUUUAUGUGUUUUUUUAAUAUAUGUGUGUGUGUGUAUAUAUAUAUGUAUGUAUAUAUUUAAGUUACAGGCAGACUUGCCAAAACAAGCUACUGAUGUAACUGUAAGGAAAACAGUUUUAAUGUCUCUUCUAACAGACUGGUUUGUUUUCUUUUAAUGAGUUAUCUUAGAUCUAUAUUUUAUUCCUAUUUUCAGCUGAUGAGA